rnacentral:lncRNA from 1 species
CAUUACUUAGUCGAGUUGAGAAUUAAUUUUCGGUUGUUGUGUUUGUUCAUUUAUCCUGAAGCAUCUUAGGGGCUUUUAUUUCUCUCCUCUGUUUCUUCUUUGUAUAUGAGAAUUACGAGCUGUGAUAUCUAUGCAUAGUCUUGAGAUAGAACGUAACAUGUUACAUUUCCUAAGAGGGUAUAAAAUAUUGCAUUUCUUCCAUAAUAUAGCAUUAAA